CUUAAGAGACACGUGUUCUCAUGAGAGAGUUUUGUGUUUAGCUCUCUCUCUCGACGGAUCUCUUCUCCUCUCUAUCCAUCCAAUCCACCAUCCCCGACGUCGUCCAAUCCCUCGAUCUAUCUCUCCGACUCAUAUCCUCCAAAACCCAAAAACCAGCACUUCUUAUUUUGUUCUGAUCUCUUCAACCUAUUCACUCCUCCGCCUCUGAAACCUCCAUCACCGUCCUCAUCAGCCACCACCACAUGUCCCUCACCAGCAGCGUGUCAUACCCGAAACCCUAGAUUUCCCUUCUCAGGUUUUCAAAUAUCUUAGCUCUCUGGAUGUUGAGGAUGCCAAAGAUGUGAAAUCUGGAUACUGUAUCACCUUUCACCUCAAUCCCAACCUCUACUCUGAGGAUGAAAACGUCACCAAGACUUUUGCCUUCCUAGAAGAAGGGACAACGAAAAUGGAGUAAGUAUUAAUGUCUUUUGCUAUUCAAGAAACGUUUUGGUUAUCUUGUUGAUCUGGAAAUCUUAUAAAGCAUCAUGUAUGGUUAGGCACGUACUAGUUUUUUAUAGCUUGUUGAGAAUAUGACAUCAAAACCAUUUUCUUUGGAGAAGAAAGUAAAUUUGAUGGAAGAUGUUGCAUGGUUUUUUUAAGAACCUUUAAUUUAGAGACUAGCAUUGGAGCAUUCUUUUUAUUGGUGUCUCUUAACUAAGUUUUUAACUAACAUUUAAUAUUUAAAAAGUCAUUAAGAUACCCUAAUGGGUUACAGGUUAAUGAUGCUCUAAGGAAUGGGUAAUAGUUCCCUUUGAUUAUUCAUGUAUAUAUUAAAGUUGAAGCAGGAAUUAUGAUUCAUUACUCUUUUCAAAUUUUUGUUUUCUGUUUAUCUCCAAUUUUAAAAGAAACUGGAGUUGAAUAUAACUUAUAAGAAGAUAAUAGAAAAUAUGUGAAAGUCAAUAAAGAUAUAAAGAAUCAGUUUGAAUUCACUGUGCGAAAAUGAAUCUAAUCAUUAGUGGAAAUGAUUAAUGGAAUAACAAUAACAUAGUGGUUGACUUUGAUAAUAAAGAAAAAGCGAGUCAAUGAUAUUAUGGCAUCGAAGUUGUCUCUUGGUGGUUUCAUUAAACAAGACAUCUCUUGUCAACUUCGUUUUAAAAACAAAAAAGACAUCUCUUGUCAACUAAAGGUUGUAUAUGCUUUUUUCUCUCUUCUACCGGCUAAUAUAACCUUUUCCAAUUAACAUUUUCAUACAUUUAUCAUAGUUUUAAAGACCCUGUUUAUCACUAAUAUUUUUAAAAGUAAGAAGUUAUCUAUCGGUUUUAAUUCAUUGUAACACAAAAAAAAACCAUAUGCUCAUGAUUCUGUUACGUAAAAAUAGAAUUCUACAACAAUUACACCAUUUUUUCCUGAGUUUCGUGUGCAUUGUAUAAAAUAUUUGAUUGAUAACACAUUCAAGAGGAAUAAGUGUUGAAUUUA